GUGAGGAAUUUUGCGCAAUGGCCGCAAGGCUGACGCAGCAACGCCGCGUGAAGGAUGAAGGCCUUCGGGUUGUAAACUUCUUUUGGAGGGGACGAAUAAAUUGACGGUACCCUCAGAAAAAGCCACGGCUAACUACGUGCCAGCAGCCGCGGUAAUACGUAGGUGGCGAGCGUUACUCGGAAUUACUAGGCGUAAAGCGUAUGUAGGCGGUUGUAUAAGUCUAUGGUGAAAUUUCCUGGCUCAACUGGGAAGGGACAUAGAUACUGUAUGGCUUGAGUGUUGGAGGGGGAGACGGAAUUCCUGGUGUAGCGGUGAAAUGCGUAGAUAUCAGGAGGAACACCGAUGGCGAAAGCAGUCUCCUGGCCAAAUACUGACGCUGAGGUACGAAAGCUAGGGUAGCAAACAGGAUUAGAAACCCGUGUAGUCC
rnacentral:rRNA from 1 species